GCAGUUGGACGGUCUGUCGCUUGCCCUUCGGGGGCAGGAGGAAAGUCCGGGCAACACAGGGCAUCCCACUUCUUAACGGGAAGCUGUCGGCGACGGCAGAGUAACGCAGAAGAAAACAACCGCCCCCCGCGGGGUAAGGGUGAGAAGGUGAGGCAAGAGCUCACCAGCUGCCGAGCGAUCGGCAGGCUGUGCGUCUUGGGAGUUGCAAGUUCAUGUAUACCGGCGCUCGAGGGCGGCCCGUCCGAGCCGGAGGGUAGAACGCUAGAGUCCGUUGGCGACAGCGGACCGAGAUAGAUGACAGACGCCCCCCGCGGGGGUACAGAACCCGGCUUACAGGCCAGCUGCUCCC
rnacentral:RNase_P_RNA from 1 species